AUGAGUUCUUCGUCAUCUUCAUCUGGCGACGAUGAACUCAUACUUGCAGCAUUCGCCGAGCGGGAGGAGGAAGAGAGGAAGAACGGUCGACGCCAUGGCGGUUCCAAGCAUGGACGUCAGUCAAUCGAUCGAGGAAGAGAUGCCGGAUUUCUUCUUCUGUGGGACGACUACUUCAAAGAAGUUCCUCGCUUUCCCGAACAUUUGUUUCGACGAAGGUUCGUAAUUAGUACACUUCUCUGCUUUGGUCCUUUUUUCAUUUCCCUGUCUCAUUUAAUUUUUAUGCACAGAUUUAGGAUGUCGCGUACUUUGUUCAACCGCGCGCAUAGCUGA
rnacentral:rRNA from 1 species